CCUACGGGAGGCAGCAGUAGGGAAUCUUCCGCAAUGGACGAAAGUCUGACGGAGUAACGCCGCGUGAGUGAUGAAGGCUUUCGGGUCGUAAAACUCUGUUGUUAGGGAAGAACAAGUGCUAGUUGAAUAAGCUGGCACCUUGACGGUACCUAACCAGAAAGCCACGGCUAACUACGUGCCAGCAGCCGCGGUAAUACGUGGGUGGCAAGCGUUAUCCGGAAUUAUUGGGCGUAAAGCGCGCGCAGGUGGUUUCUUAAGUCUGAUGUGAAAGCCCACGGCUCAACCGUGGAGGGUCAUUGGAAACUGGGAGACUUGAGUGCAGAAGAGGAAAGUGGAAUUCCAUGUGUAGCGGUGAAAUGCGUAGAGAUAUGGAGGAACACCAGUGGCGAAGGCGACUUUCUGGUCUGUAACUGACACUGAGGCGCGAAAGCGUGGGGAGCAAACAGGAUUAGAUACCCUGGUAGUCCACGCCGUAAACGAUGAGUGCUAAGUGUUAGAGGGUUUCCGCCCUUUAGUGCUGAAGUUAACGCAUUAAGCACUCCGCCUGGGGAGUACGGCCGCAAGGCUGAAACUCAAAGGAAUU
rnacentral:rRNA from 1 species